CCUACGGGUGGCUGCAGUGGGGAAUAUUGGACAAUGGGGGCAACCCUGAUCCAGCCAUGCCGCGUGUGUGAAGAAGGCCCUCGGGUGGUAAAGCACUUUCAGUGAGGAAGAACGCCUGGUGGUUAAUACCCAUCAGGAAAGACAUCACUCACAGAAGAAGCACCGGCUAACUCCGUGCCAGCAGCCGCGGUAAUACGGAGGGUGCGAGCGUUAAUCGGAAUUACUGGGCGUAAAGCGCGCGUAGGUGGCUUGAUAAGCCGGUUGUGAAAGCCCCGGGCUCAACCUGGGAACGGCAUCCGGAACUGUCAAGCUAGAGUGCAGGAGAGGAAGGUAGAAUUCCCGGUGUAGCGGUGAAAUGCGUAGACAUCGGGAGGAAUACCAGUGGCGAAGGCGGCCUUCUGGACUGACACUGACACUGAGGUGCGAAAGCGUGGGUAGCACACAGGAUUAGAUACCCUUGUAGUC
rnacentral:rRNA from 1 species